rnacentral:tRNA from 1 species
CGCCAACCUAUCGGGCGGGCCGGGCAGGCCCCGCUACGGCUUGGGCAGGGCGCAGCCCGGCCGGGUCAGAUCGAUCUUGUUGCCGGUGCC